CUUCACCGACCCCAGCCACAACGGCUGCUGCCCGUCGCGGUCCUGCCCGUACGUCGCCAGCAGCGCCUGCGCCUC
rfam:Streptomyces sp. NRRL B-1568 contig-239, whole genome shotgun sequence.